rnacentral:rRNA from 1 species
CGCUGGUGGCGUGUCUUAGUCAUGCAAGUCGAACGAGAAAGUACCCUUCGGGGUGCGAGUAAAGUGGCGAACGGGUGAGUAACACGUGGGUAACCUACCUUCGAGUGGGGAACAAUCCCUCUAACGAGGGGCUAAUACCGCAUAAUGCAGCGGCUCCGCAUGGAGACAGUUGUUAAAGGGGCAACUUCGGUUGUCUCGCUUGAAGAUGGACCCGCGGUCCAUUAGCUUGUUGGUGAGGUAACGGCUCACCAAGGCAACGAUGGAUAGCCGGCCUGAGAGGGUGAACGGCCACACUGGAACUGAGAAAGGUCCAGUCCCCUACGGGGGCCAGCAGUCUAGAAAUUUGCGCAAUGGGCGAAAGCCUGACGCAGCGACGCCACGUGGAGGAUGAAGCCCUUAGGGGUGUAAACUCCUGUCAGAAGGGAAGAAUGCAGGAAAUAACUUUUCCUGUUUGACGGUACCUUCAGAGGAAGCCCCGGCUAACUUCGUGCCAGCAGCCGCGGUAAUACGAAGGGGGCAAGCGUUGUUCGGAUUUACUGGGCGUAAAGGGCGUGCAGGCGGACCGAUAAGUCGUCUGUGAAAUCUGCCGGCUCAACCAGCAACUGGCAGUCGAAACUAUCGGUCUUGAGUACAGGAGAGGAGAGCGGAAUCUCAGGUGUAGCGGUGAAAUGCGUAGAUAUCUGGGAGAACACCGGUGGCGAAGGCGGCUCUCUGGCCUGAUACUGACGCUGAGGCGCGAAAGCUAGGGGAGCGAACGGGAUUAGAUACCCCGGUAGUCCUAGCUGUAAACGAUGGGUACUAGGUGUUGGAGGUAUUGACCCCUCCAGUGCCGCAGCUAACGCAUUAAGUACCCCGCCUGGGGAGUACGGUCGCAAGGCUGAAACUCAAAGGAUUGACGGGGACCCGCACAAGCGGUGGGAGCAUGUUCCU